UCCAUGAAAGUGAUUGGACUUUAAGACCU
rnacentral:piRNA from 2 species